AACACAUAUUGGCAAAAUUCACCGAAAGGGAAUGACGCAAAGCCAUGGAUCUACAGUCUCAUUUCUAUGGGACCAUGACAGCCAGGUUGCUGAA
rnacentral:ncRNA from 1 species